rnacentral:rRNA from 1 species
UGGGGGAAACCCUGACCGAGCGACGCCGCGUGUGGGAUGAAGGCCCUCGGGUUGUAAACCACUGUCAACGGGGAGGAAAUGCAGAGGGGUUCUCCCCUCUGUUUGACCUAUCUGUGGAGGAAGUACGGGCUAAGUUCGUGCCAGCAGCCGCGGUAAGACGAACCGUACAAACGUUACUCGGAAUUACUGGGCUUAAAGGGUGCGUAGGCUGCGCGGAAAGUUGGGUGUGAAAGCCCUCAGCUCAACUGAGGAAUUGCACUCAAAACUACCGUGCUCGAGGGAGACAGAGGUAAGCGGAACUCAAGGUGGAGCGGUGAAAUGCGUUGAUAUCUUGAGGAACACCGGUGGCGAAGGCGGCUUACUGGUCUCUUCUGACGCUGAGGCACGAAAGCCAAGGUAGCAAACGGGAUUAGAUACCCCGGUAGUCUUGGCUGUAAACGAUGAGCACUUGAUUGAAGGGUCCUCCAUAGCCUUUCAGUCGUAGCGAAAGUGUUAAGUGCUCCGCCUGGGGA